CUGGCGUGGUGUGAGGAAGGCCCAGUAGGGGUGGCUGUAGGGCGGCACGGUCACCGGGGCCAUCUCCUCCUCUUCCUCCUCCUCGUCCACAUCCCCCAAGGGUAGCGGGAUAUCCAGGGAGGGGGGCAGGGGCACGUCCAGUUUCUCCUUUCCGAAUAGCUUCACUUGCGGCCGCGGAAAGAGGCGGAACUUGCGGAUGAGAGAUAGCUUGGACCUGGCAGGUUUGUCCAUGCCCUGCUGCUCAAAGAAAGCAGAGCUAGGCAGGCGGAAGGAGGUGCCCUGCCGCUCCCCGCCUGGCUCUUCUGGCUCCUCCAGUUCCACAAUGUCAUCCAUGGGGUGGGCGUAUGGGUUGUGGGGUGACAGGAUGGGCGCUGGUACCCAGGGGUAAGCAAAGGCUGACUCUUCUGGGUACAGAUAGGGCGCGCCUGGGGGAUAAAUGGCCUCGUCUCCUCCACCGUAGAUGCCUUCGGCAUAGGGGACAGUGUGGGGGAUCCCAUAGGGAUCAAGGUAGGGCAUACUGUAGGGAUUCUCAUACGGCAGGUCAUAGGAUGGGCAAGGCACUUCGUAGGGCGCAUAGGGAUCCGGGUAGUAGCUGUAGGGGUAGCCUUCGCCUUCGAGCUCGUCCUGGUAGCUGUAGGGUGACGAGUACCCUGAUGGGGGCGCGUAUGGGGGCUCAUAGUCAUAGUAGCCGUAGCCGUGGCCAGGGAAAAAGGAGCCGCCAUAGUGGUCAGGCAGGUAGUAGUCGUAGGGGUCCUCGGGCGGGUACUCGUAGGGGUAGUCAGUGUAGGGUGGCCAGGCUGGGCUGUAGAGACCAUAGCCAGCCAGGUAGGCCUCUUGCUCCUCGUAGCGGUGCAUUGACUGCUGGUCGUAAUAGUCAUCGCCCUCGCGAUGGUAGUCAUAAUAUUCACCCAGGUCCUGGAAGCCUUCCAGUCCAUACAACGACUUUCGAGAGCCCGCGUGCCGAAAGGGUGCCUCGUCCUCAAAAGACUCAAGAGAGCUUGCGAGAGACCAGCCAUUCAGAGAGGCCAUGUCUAGGGCUGGGGGUGCCUGCUACAGAUGGUUUCCAGAGCCAGGUGUGUCACACAGAGGGAUCUCAUGGGAUUCUCUCAACAGGCCUCUGAGGUAGAAACUGGUCCUAUCUCCAUUUUCCAGGUCCCAGCCUCUGCUGUGGUACUGAGGAGUAUCAGGAGCAAGUCCCUCGAUCAUUCAUUCCUCAAAUAUUGGCUGUGUACCUACUAGGUAGCGAACACUGCCCUGAAUGCUAAGAGGUCAGACUUCAGUGGAGCAAGACACGGUCUCUGUCAGAGUUCCCAAGGUCACAGACCUUAAGCUAAGAGUCACAUCAUCCAGAAGAGCUGUGAAAGUCAAAGCAUGACCCCAGGUACUCAACACCACAAUGGAGGCCCAGGAAAGCUCCUCUAAGAAGUAGCAGGAAUCAAACUCAGGAUCUUAUGCUUGCCAGGAAGGCAUGGCACCGCUGAGCUACAUCCCUGGCCCCGAUACACAGUUCUUGAGGAGGGCAGAUGAGCUUGGAGUUUCUUGCCAAAAGAGGGUUCCAAAAUAAUGAACUGUAUAAUCUAAGCUGGAGGAGGGACAUGGAGAAUGAAUAUACAGAUAUUGUACAGACACACAGAUGCUUUUUCCCUUGGCUUCUUUACAUGAGCUUUCUAAAGCUGCAGGCCAGGUUGUCCUCUGGGGUACCAGCCUGGGGCUGAGUACAGCCCUGCUGUGUGGGGAUGGGCUGAGUGAAGCUGCAGGACCCUCCUGUAAUGGCCAGGGGAGGGUGAGUGAUGGGACCAAGGUGGCCAACAGGAACAGGGCCCAGCCCUGGAGUUCACCUUGGUAGCAUGGGUUAGGGACCACAGAGGUUGCUUAGAGGGCUUCCCAGCCAAAGGCCACUAAGCUGGCUUGUCACUUUGACUUGGGCAUGUACAGCUGAAAAGUCCCUCUCACACAGUUCACCCUUGCUGAUCACAGAUCCAAAAAGUCCAGGGCACAAUACAUGGAGAUGUCUCUGAUCCCCAACACAAAGACUGAGCCCAGCAAACAAGUUCAC
ensembl:lncRNA